UACGUAGGGUCCAAGCGUUGUCCGGAAUUAUUGGGCGUAAAGAGCUUGUAGGCGGUUUGUCGCGUCUGCUGUGAAAUUUCGGGGCUCAACCCCGAACUUGCAGUGGGUACGGGCAGACUAGAGUGUGGUAGGGGAGACUGGAAUUCCUGGUGUAGCGGUGAAAUGCGCAGAUAUCAGGAGGAACACCGAUGGCGAAGGCAGGUCUCUGGGCCACUACUGACGCUGAGAAGCGAAAGCAUGGGGAGCGAACAGG
rnacentral:rRNA from 1 species